UACGGCGGCCAUAGCGACAGGGAAACACCCGGACCCAUCCCGAACCCGGAAGUUAAGCCUGCCAGCGCCGAUGGUACUGCCCCCGAGAGGGCGUGGGAGAGUAGGACGCCGCCGAAC
rnacentral:rRNA from 2 species